rnacentral:rRNA from 1 species
AUUGAACGCUGGCGGCAGGCCUAACACAUGCAAGUCGAGCGGCAGCACGGGUACUUGUACCUGGUGGCGAGCGGCGGACGGGUGAGUAAUGCCCAGGAAUCUGCCUGGUAGUGGGGGAUAACGCUCGGAAACGGACGCUAAUACCGCAUACGUCCUACGGGAGAAAGCAGGGGACCUUCGGGCCUUGCGCUAUCAGAUGAGCCUAGGUCGGAUUAGCUAGUUGGUGAGGUAAUGGCUCACCAAGGCGACGAUCCGUAACUGGUCUGAGAGGAUGAUCAGUCACACUGGAACUGAGACACGGUCCAGACUCCUACGGGAGGCAGCAGUGGGGAAUAUUGGACAAUGGGCGAAAGCCUGAUCCAGCCAUGCCGCGUGUGUGAAGAAGGUCUUCGGAUUGUAAAGCACUUUAAGUUGGGAGGAAGGGCAGUUACCUAAUACGUAUCUGUUUUGACGUACCGA